rnacentral:rRNA from 1 species
UGGGGAAUAUUGCGCAAUGGGCGCAAGCCUGAUCCAGCCAUGCCGCGUGCGGGAAGAAGGCCUUCGGGUUGUAAACCGCUUUUGUCAGGGAAGAAACGCUCUGGGCUAAUACCCUGGGGUAAUGACGGUACCUGAAGAAUAAGCACCGGCUAACUACGUGCCAGCAGCCGCGGUAAUACGUAGGGUGCAAGCGUUAAUCGGAAUUACUGGGCGUAAAGCGUGCGCAGGCGGUUUGGUAAGACAGAUGUGAAAUCCCCGGGCUUAACCUGGGAACUGCAUUUGUGACUGCCAGACUAGAGUGUAGCAGAGGGGGGUAGAAUUCCACGUGUAGCAGUGAAAUGCGUAGAUAUGUGGAGGAAUACCGAUGGCGAAGGCAGCCCCCUGGGCUAACACUGACGCUCAUGCACGAAAGCGUGGGGAGCAAACAGGAUUAGAUACCCGCGUAGUCCCUGAGCGGGCUGGCAAGGCGCAU